GAUAAAUACCUAAAAAUCACAUAUAUAAAUAUAUCCCAGUCCGUAUGUUUAUAUAUGUCCGGAGCUUACAGACCCCUUUUCAGUUUAUUCCUGCUCGGAAACGCCUUUUGUCCGGAGGAUCCGCCUUUCUUCAACAAAGCAGACGGACAGCCGUCGGGUUUCUUCCAAGCACCGAGGUGAACAAAACGGACUUUCCUCGCGAGCAGAACGUGUGUGCAGCCGCGCCGGGAGCGUGGCUUUUCCCGGCGUGGUCUCGGCUCUGUUUUCACGCGGCUUUCCGCGCGUCCUUCAGGCUUUUACGGUUCGAAGGGCUCUGCCAAGGGACGGUACCGGAGGGGAAAGCGGCACGGCAGCACCUCCUCACAGCACAAUGCCUUCUCGGUCGGUGUUUUUAAUGAGAGUUUAGCCGUCGACAGCCAAAGUUUUACCCUAUUUUGAUAUUACCGCCUGUUUUUUUUUUU